rnacentral:tRNA from 1 species
GGGGAUUUGGCUCAGUGGUAGAGCACCUGCCUAGCAAGCACAAGGCCCUGGGUUCAGUCCCCAGCUCCG